rnacentral:lncRNA from 1 species
GUCAGGGUCAGUGGUGUCUUCCCUCCACUCCAUCUUAGCCCCCAGGGAUGGACAUCCAGGGGAAGCAGCCCCACUUCCUGUGUCUACUCCUCAUGGACAUUGUGGGAGCUCCAUUUUCUUCAACAGAAGAUAUGAAUCAAGCAAUCUGAGGGCCUAGAUGGGGAGAAAAGGGCCCUGAAACAGGGAGAGAUGAAUGUAGCCACCAGCUCUCUGUUUUUUUCUUUAGAGGGGCAGGGAGUCAUUCAACCUAAGAAUUUUUCCUUGCUGUCUUGCAUAUCCCAACAGGCCUCCCUUCAUUCUUACAGUGUGACUGACCUAAAUUGAAAAUAUGAAGAGGACCCAUGGGCUAAAAGUUGGUUGCCUCCACCCUUUGACUAUUGUGAACAGUGCUGCUAUGAACAUGAGUGUGCAAAUAUACUUUCAAGAUCCUGGUUUCAAUUCUUUUGAGAUUACCCAGAAGUAGAAUCAGUGGAACAUACGGAAGAAGAUUAUGGGCAAGUACUGCAAGAACUGGCAACAGUCUCAUAUUAUGUGGACAACUCUACAAUGCAUGUUUGUUUGGGCUCUCCCUUUUCGCUGCUCCAAACUCCCUGUCCCUGACUUUUGCUUACUGGGUCCAGUCCCCAGUAGAGUAGCUGCUCUUAGGCUUUUGUCUUAGGAGAACUCAGGGGAACACGUGGCCUAUGCUCUGGCAAUAAAAUCUUCUUGCAUUGUCAGAAGUCACCUCACUAUUUGAUGUCUCCGUAUACUCCCUCUGCUUUAAUCUCACUUACUUCCCCCAAACCUCAAUCUGGCCCCUGUUUAAAUGUCACCUGUUCAUGAAGCUUUCCUUCAUCUCCACAACAAAGCUGGUUUCUCCCUUCUCUGUGGCUGCUGUACCUUGUUUAUUCCUCCAUGGGCGCACUGAGGGCUCUCAAUACAUUUGGUUUUAUAUCUGAUACUCAUUGUAAUAUCCACUAUUUUUUUUUUGUUUCUUUUAUAUUUUAGGUCCUCAAACAUUGCCAAACAUUGUCAAUCAUUCUUGAAGGUUUAACAUUAAAUGAUAUUAAGAAACGGACACUGGGCAAUAACUUUAGCACCAGCUGGGAGAAUUGGUGAUGAUUAUAGUCGGAAAGAAUCCCAAAUAUGUGAUGCUGAAGAGAUGCAGAAACAUUGAAAGCAAAUGAUCCUGUGCCUGUGACUGAACCCUCCUUGAUCUCCGAAGGGCAAGUGUUACACUGUUGCCCGUGUUUCAUCUGGAAAAAACAGAAGUACACAGAAGAAUGUGAUUUGUCCAAAGUCACCUCCUGUCAGGGAAGUCUUUUCCCAGUAUCAGUCAUCACUUUGCUGGGCCGGUCCAUGCCAGUCCAUGCUGGUCCAUGCCUGCCUGGUCAGGCUACAAUCUUCAUUCACAAAGAGUACACUGGGAAGUCAGAGAGACCUGGGUUCAAGUCUGAAGUAUUGAGUGACUCAGAAAAUUAUAUAACUCCCAGCUGUGCCUCAGUUUCCUAGUCUGAACAGUGGCCAUCAACACAGAUGUUUGUUUUUUUUUUUAAUUUAAUUUUUUUAUAUAUGUUUUUUUGAGACGGAGUCUCGCUCUGUCGCCAGGCUGGAGUGCAGCGGAACGAUCUCUGCUCACUGCAACCUCUGCCUCCUGGGUUCAAGUGAUUCUCCUGCCUCAGCCUCCUGAGUAGCUGGGACUACAGGCACACGUCACCACACCUGGCUAAUUUUUGUAUUUUUAGUAGAGACGGGGUUUCACCGUGUUAGCCAGGAUGGUCUCAAUCUCUUGACCUCAUGAUCUGCCCGCCUGGGCCUCCCAAAGUGCUGGGAUUAUAGGUGUGAGCCACUGCUCCCGGCCCCAGAUGCUUGUUUUGAGGAUUAUGUAAGUAAGGUAUUAUUUUAUUGGAGGAUGAACAGUAAGCCCUCAGUAUGCGGUAAUAUUAAAUGCAAUAGAAAUACAUGAAUCCAAGAUUUCUCAAACCUUUACCACCCUCCACUCCCCACAACCAGGUGGAACAGAUGCUCUGUGUCUAAUGUCAUACCGCCUUGGCCCACUUCUGACUUUCACGGGGACUGUGAGAGACAUUUUAAUUCAUUCUGAGUAUUUCUCCCACUUUAAAUUGGUGCCAUUUCUCCACGUUUUUCUGCUUUUGUGCUUUCUUCAAAGCCAUAGAAGUAGGCAAAGCCCAGCGGGCAACCUUGGGUCAAAUGAGGAAGACAGUCGACUGCAAAUGCCCUAGUCCAGCCUUCGGAUAGAAAUUCUCCAAGUCUUUCUGAACAGAGUCCUAGCAGAGUUGAGUGCUCAUUGUCCACAGCAGCAACCUUGCCCUGGCCUAUGCACAUUGAUUAACUGCAUGACUUUGGAAGCCACUUUACUGCCUCUGAACAAUGAAGCACAGUUGAAUGCUCACAGAUCUAUAUGCUAGCAGAAUCUGUCAUCAGUACACAUCAAGUAUCUGUGGUUCCCUCCUCCUAAGAGAGAGCCUACAGUAUAGAGUCUCCCUCAUGGUUUAUCUACCCAAGUCCUGCACCCAAGACUUGUUUAGUGAAGCUACAGAGGGAACAUAUAGGCCCAAUGAUUGUAUUCAGAUCUCAGCUGCUCACUGGAUCUGCUCAAAAGUACAGUGGGAAUACCCUACCUUGAAAUAAGAUGCAUUCAGCAUCCUUACUAACGUGUGAACCAUUCCAGUCAGGAUUCCUGCACUGGUGAGAAAGAAGACUAGGAAAUCACUCACAUCUCCAAUUCUGAUUUAUAGGAUUCUAUAAAUGUAAAAUCAAUAGGCAUAACACUCAG